rnacentral:pre_miRNA from 1 species
CAGCGAUGGGCAGUUGGAAGGGGGGCCGUUACACUGUAAGAGAGUGAGUAGCAGGUCUCACAGUGAACCGGUCUCUUUUCCUACUGUGUCA